UCAUCUUUCAGCAUCAUCAAACAGAUUGUAUGUUGUGCAAAAUAUUUCCAUAUGGUUAUAUUCUACUUUUGUGUUUCUCAAGGAGAUCAUCAAAUCUACUCCAGAGAGCAUUGCAGCUACCCCCACAAAGCUCUGUCUCAUUCAUAUAUAUAUUAGACAAACGAGGAGUUUGGCGGGUGCAGUGCAGUUCCACUGGAAUCAACAUGUUUGUCUCAGCUGGAAAAGUACACUCCAAAGCUCCUGGAGCUGUUUAGUUUGAACAGAGGAGAGCGGUUGGUCAGUGCAUCAAGAACUUGUUGAUGGAACUGAUACAGGGAACUGCAGAGAGCAGUGUGCACGAGGACCUGGAAAUGGACUGUAUGACGUUCUAUGCUUGCCAUGAACCAGAUGAAGUGGCCAUCUUCGAGAGAGAGAAACCCAGUGCUUACAAAGCUCUGCAAUCUGGCCAGAACAUGCUGCUGUGUACUCGGGGUGACAUGCAUGCUGAAUCUCCAGUAUCCAUGCAAAAUUUGAGAAUUUAUGAGGUAUUUCAAAGACUUUUUUACGGGACUUGAUACACUGCGCCCAAAACUAACCUCCAAGUUCAUAAGCCUCAAAAACAUGCUUUUUGCAGUGAAACAUGAUUGUUGGCCUUGCACUGAAGACUGUUUUGUUUUUUUGUUCAAGGACUUUACAUUUUUCUCGGCCUGAUGAGUGUAUUCUUGAGUUGUACAUGAAGGCCUUUCAAGCACUUUGUGGGACUCUGCACUGGGUCCAAAACUAACUUCCAUGAUCAUUUCUGUUCAUGAACAUUUUUUGUUAUUUUAAAUUCAUUUAACUGAUGCACUCACUGAAAGUCACUGAAAAUAUCUUACCAAGCUGCAGUUGGUAAGCUGAUGUCACAUGUUCUAGUAUGUAAACUAGUAAGUUUUAAAGGAAAAUCUGCCAAUUUAAAACCAUGAUGUCAAAUGAUGCAAUGACUGUUAAGCUGUGAUGUUUAAA